GCUGUGCUUGUUUUGGCAGUGAAUACUAAAAUUCAGACAAUACAAAGAAAAUUAGCACUGGCCCCUACAAAAAGAUGAUUUGCAAAUUUGUGAGGCAUUCCUUAUUUUU